rnacentral:lncRNA from 1 species
AUAAACAGAGAACUCCCAAAAGGCUGGCUCCAGCCAAGGCCACGGGUGAGACAAGCCUGUGUUAUGCGCUUAUAUAAUGCACAGGCUUCACCCAGAGAUGGAACCAGCUCGAACUACCAACUGAUAAUGUCUCAAGCAGACAACAGGUGACCAAAUUAAGGAAAGAAACCAGGAUCCUGGCAGCCCAGGAAGCAGAGCCGGUCAUGACAACAUGCAGCUGAUGAUGUGGGGGUGAAAGGCUGAGUAAGCGGUUGCAAUCUGCAGUGAGCCAAGCUGAAAGGCCCGGGCGGAUGUGAAGGCUGGUGGUAAGGAAAUGGGAAGCAGGCAGCCAAGCUAACCCUGUGUCCACUGAAGGAGUGAGGUGGCCUUGAGCACAGCAGCAUCCCUGGGUCUUACGUCGGCCAGAAGUAGAAAGGGAAGAAGCCUAAAGGAAGUGAAAGUGUUGCUGGAUCUCCUGCUGGCAUUGCCUCCUCCUUCACACAGCAUCCCGGUUCUCCCUGCAGCCACCUGAUCUUCCCUUUGUCCCCUUCCUCACCACAGCCCCACCACCUUCACCACUCCAAGUUGAUGCUUCUCCUACAUCUGGCCAAGAUGCUACUCAGAGGUGGAUGAAAGCAAAAGUCACUGCUCUAAUACAAGAAAAGUCCCGGUUUUAGGUUUCAGAAACAGAAUUUUCCCGAAUGUUUAAAAUGGUGAAUGGUUCCAUAAACUGUGUUAACCAGGCUUCUUACAGGCUAGUCCCAGAAUCUGACCACCAUGUGCAAUACUGUUUCUAAGAAAAGUGUGCUCCAAGCAAGAACCUUCAAACAUUUAACCUGAAUGAAUGAAUAUAACCUCUUCACGGUUCAGUGUUUUCAUAAGCAAAACAAGAGAAUAGCAGCAUUGAUGUCUUUUAAAAAAAAUUUAGGGCUGGGCGCGGUGGCUCACGCCUGUAAUCCCAGCACUUUGGGAGGCCAAGGCAGGCAGAUCACUCCUGAGGUCAGGAGUUUGAGACCAGUCUGGCCAACAAGAUGAAACCCUGUCUCUACUAAUAAUACAAAAAAAUUAGCUGGAAUGUGGUGGCACAUGACUGUAAUCCCAGCUACUCAGGAGGCUGAGGCAGGAGAAUCACUUGAACCCAGGAAGCAGAGGUUGCAGUGAGCCGAGAUCGAGCCACUGCACUCCAGCCUGCGUGACAAGAGCAAAACUCCAUCUCAAAAAAAAAAAAAAAAAAAAAAA